UUGCUUUACCAGCAUGUAUACUAAAACUGGAACAAUAUAGAGAAGAUUAGCAUGGCCCCCGCCCAAGGAUGGCACAUGAAUUUGUGAAGUGGUCCAUAUUUUU